UGCAAAAAAAAAUCUGAAUAAUAUAUAAACAAAAACGAAAGCAGCAUGUGGGUGUUGAGAUUGUAUUGAUUGACAUUAUAUUAGACUACAUAAAGGUUGGAACCCUCUUAAAAUUAAAUCCAUUAUUGUUGAAACAUUCUGAUGUAAUCUAUCUAUGAUCUAAUAAAAGAUAAAAAAAAUAAAUAAAAGGGAUCCAAAGAACUCCACCUUUUUAAAGAAGAAGAGAAGCAACUGAAGCUCAAAAGCAACUUAAGCUCAUCGUAGAAAGAAACUCCAAAUGAAGGAAAAGCGUGUAGCCGGAGUUCGUUUUGCUUGACGACGUCGCAUCAACUUCAACUCUAUCACAUGAGUCACAAACAAUAGUU
rnacentral:lncRNA from 1 species